UCYGGUUGAUCCUGCCRGACCCGACUGCUAUCAGAGUGAGACUAAGCCAUGCGAGUCAACGUAUGAAUAAUACGUGGCGAACGGCUCAGUAACACGUAGUCAACAUGCCCAAAGGACGUGGAUAACCUCGGGAAACUGAGGAUAAACCGCGAUAGGUCAUAAGUACUGGAAUGUUUUAUGGCUCAAAUCUACAUGGCCUCUGGAUUGGACUGCGGCCGAUCAGGCUGUUGGUGAGGUAAUGGCCCACCAAACCUGUUACCGGUACGGGCUCUGAGAGGAGGAGCCCGGAGAUGGGCACUGAGACAAGGGCCCAGGCCCUAUGGGGCGCAGCAGGCGCGAAACCUCUGCAAUAGGCGAAAGCUUGACAGGGUUACUCUGAGUGAUUCCCGCUAAGGGAAUCUUUUGGCAUCUCUAAAAACGAUGCAGAAUAAGGGGUGGGCAAGUCUGGUGUCAGCCGCCGCGGUAAUACCAGCACCCCGGGUGGUCGGGACGAUUAUUGGGCCUAAAGCAUCCGUAGCCGGUCUUGCAAGUCUUCCGUUAAAUCCACCUGCUUAACAGAUGGGCUGCGGAAGAUACUACAAGACUAGGAGGCGGGAGAGGCAAGCGGUACUCAGUGGGUAGGGGUAAAAUCCUCUGAUCCAUUGAAGACCACCAGUGGCGAAGGCGGCUUGCCAGAACGCGCUCGACGGUGAGGGAUGAAAGCUGGGGGAGCAAACCGGAUUAGAUACCCGGGUAGUCCCAGCUGUAAACGAUGCAGACUCGGUGAUGGGCCGGCUUCAUGCCGGCUCAGUGCCGCAGGGAAGCCGUUAAGUCUGCCGCCUGGGGAGUACGGUCGCAAGACUGAAACUUAAAGGAGUUGGCGGGGGAGCACCACAAGGGGUGAAGCCUGCGGUUCAAUUGGABUCAACGCCGGR
rnacentral:rRNA from 1 species